CAGCAGCCGCGGUAAUUCCAGCUCCAAUAGCGUAUAUUAAAGUUGUUGCAGUUAAAAAGCUCGUAGUUGGAUUUCGGGACGAGUCGGUCGGUCCGCCGCGAGGCGUGUUACUGUCCGACUGGUUCUUCUUCGCCACGACCGCGUGUGCUCUUAACUGAGUGUGCGUUCGGGAGUUGCGACGUUUACUUUGAAAAAAUUAGAGUGUUCAAAGCAGGCUGUGGCUUGAAUACAUAAGCAUGGAAUAAUGGAAUAGGACUUGGGUUCUAUUUUGUUGGUUUCUGGAACCGAAGUAAUGAUUAAAAGGGACAGUUGGGGGCAUUCGUAUUUCGUUGUCAGAGGUGAAAUUCUUGGAUUUACGAAAGACGAACUACUGCGAAAGCAUUUGCCAAGAAUGUUUUCAUUAAUCAAGAACGAAAGUUAGAGGAUCGAAGACGAUCAGAUACCGUCCUAGUUCUAACCAUAAACGAUGCCGACUAGGGAUCGGGGAGUGUUAUUGGAUGACCUCCUCGGCACCUUAUGGGAAACCAAAGUUUUUGGGUUCCGGGGGAAGUAUGGUUGCAAAUCUGAAACUUAAAGGAAUUGACGGAAGGGCACCACCAGGAGUGGAGCCUGCGGCUUAAUUUGACUCAACACGGG
rnacentral:rRNA from 1 species